AAGUCGUAACAAGGUUUCCGUAGGUGAACCUGCGGAAGGAUCAUUAACACGUACGAAAGUACAACCACCAAAAUUGUGAACUGUUUUAUCUCCCCGGGAUACUUGACCGUAAAAAAUUCAGGACAAAGGCUGAACUCUUUGGAAAUGGGCGAUGUGCUGUAAAAGGCAUGUCGUAGCAUGCGUCCUGAAACAUGCUGGUAUGUUCUGGUAUUGCAUUCGUCACCCUUCUGGAUGAUGAUUGUAAGCCUCGCGACUACCAACGGUCUCUUCCGGAUAUGAAAUUUACCAUAUGCCAAAUUUACUUGAAUAACCCUUUGAUUGCAUUUGACUGAUGUUAUAGCUCAUAUGAAAAUAUGAGUGACUAGAUUUAAUUCUAACUAAGCACAACUCUUAGCAAUGGAUAUCUAGGUUCUC
rnacentral:misc_RNA from 1 species